GGACGGGUGAGUAAUGUCUGGGAAACUGCCUGAUGGAGGGGGAUAACUACUGGAAACGGUAGCUAAUACCGCAUAACGUCGCAAGACCAAAGAGGGGGACCUUCGGGCCUCUUGCCAUCGGAUGUGCCCAGAUGGGAUUAGCUAGUAGGUGGGGUAAUGGCUCACCUAGGCGACGAUCCCUAGCUGGUCUGAGAGGAUGACCAGCCACACUGGAACUGAGACACGGUCCAGACUCCUACGGGAGGCAGCAUG
rnacentral:rRNA from 1 species